rnacentral:rRNA from 1 species
CGAGUUCCCGUACGAUCACCGAAGUUAAGCAAGGUCGAGCCUGGUCAGUACCUAGAUGGGUAACCGCUUGGGAAUACCAGGUGCUGUAAG